UCUUGUUUCUCCCCGCCCCUCACUGGGCCCCACCCCCUGCACGCUGAGCUGGAAAGCUUUUCCACCGGACGUGGCGCCAAAGGGAGAAGGGGCACCCAUGAACGACAGAAGGGAAAGGAUAUCCACCGAAGGUGCUAAGGGGCCUCAUCAAUAGUCCAAGGGGUUCAAGAGGUGGCUCAGUGGUUAAGAGCACCGUCUUCUCUUCUAGAGGUCCUGAGUUCAAUUCUCAGCAGCCACAUGGCAGCUCACAACCAUCAAUAAUGGAUCCGACGCCCUCUUCUGACCGAGUGACAAGCACUGUCCAGCUGCUCCUCUGGAAUCAUGUCCUCCAGAGGACUUUGCCAUCUGCUUUGCUCCCGGACCUGGAGGUGACAGUUGUCAGUCA